UACGUAGGGUGCGAGCGUUGUUCGGAAUUACUGGGCGUAAAGGGCGCGUAGGCGGCCCUCUAAGUCAGACGUGAAAUCCCUCGGCUCAACCGGGGAACUGCGUCUGAGACUGGAAGGCUUGAAUUCGGGAGAGGGAUGUGGAAUUCCAGGUGUAGCGGUGAAAUGCGCAGAUAUCAGGAAGAACACCCGUGGCGAAAGCGGCUCUCUGGAACGGUACUGACGCUGAGACGCGAAAGCGUGGGGAGCGAACAGG
rnacentral:rRNA from 1 species